AGUGGCGGACGGGUGAGUAACGCGUGAGAAUCUGCCUUGGGGUCGGGGACAACCACUGGAAACGGUGGCUAAUACCGGAUAAGCCGAUUGGUGAAAGAUUUAUCGCCCGAAGAGGAGCUCGCGUCUGAUUAGCUAGUUGGUGAGGUAAGAGCUCACCAAGGCAGCGAUCAGUAGCUGGUCUGAGAGGACGAUCAGCCACACUGGGACUGAGACACGGCCCAGACUCCUACGGGAGGCAGCAGUGGGGAAUUUUCCGCAAUGGGCGAAAGCCUGACGGAGCAAGACCGCGUGAGGGAGGAAGGCUCUUGGGUUGUAAACCUCUUUUCUCAGGGAAGAAGCUCUGACGGUACCUGAGGAAUCAGCCUCGGCUAACUCCGUGCCAGCAGCCGCGGUAAUACGGAGGAGGCAAGCGUUAUCCGGAAUUAUUGGGCGUAAAGCGUCCGCAGGUGGCGAUUCAAGUCUGCUGUCAAAGCACGGGGCUUAACUCCGUAAAGGCAGUGGAAACUGAAUAGCUAGAGUGCCGUAGGGGUAGAGGGAAUUCCCGGUGUAGCGGUGAAAUGCGUAGAGAUCGGGAAGAACAUCGGUGGCGAAAGCGCUCUACUGGACGGUAACUGACACUCAGGGACGAAAGCUAGGGGAGCGAAUGGGAUUAGAUACCCC
rnacentral:rRNA from 1 species